rnacentral:rRNA from 1 species
UACGGAGGGUCCAAGCGUUAUCCGGAAUCAUUGGGUUUAAAGGGUCCGUAGGCGGUUUUGUAAGUCAGUGGUGAAAGCCCAUCGCUCAACGGUGGAACGGCCAUUGAUACUGCAAGACUUGAAUUAUUGGGAAGUAACUAGAAUAUGUAGUGUAGCGGUGAAAUGCUUAGAGAUUACAUGGAAUACCAAUUGCGAAGGCAGGUUACUACCAAUAAUAUUGACGCUGAUGGACGAAAGCGUGGGGAGCGAACAGG